rnacentral:rRNA from 1 species
GUCUAUGGUCAUGCCACCCUAAAUACACCUGAUUCUGACUGAUCUCGGAAGCGAAGCAGGGUCAGGCCUGGUUAGUACUUGGAUGGGAGACCACCUAGGAGGACUGGGUGCUGUAGGUG